rnacentral:rRNA from 1 species
UACGUAGGGGGGCUAGCGUUGUCCGGAAUCAUUGGGCGUAAAGCGCGUGUAGGCGGUUCGGUAAGUCCGCUGUGAAAGUCGGGGGCUCAACCCUCGGAUGCCGGUGGAUACUGUCGAGCUUGAGUACGGAAGAGGCGAGUGGAAUUCCUGGUGUAGCGGUGAAAUGCGCAGAUAUCAGGAGGAACACCAAUUGCGAAGGCAGCUCGCUGGGACGUUACUGACACUGAGAAGCGAAAGCAUGGGGAGCGAACAGG